rnacentral:rRNA from 1 species
GUGUCCAAAGAUUUUAUCGCUCGAAGAUGGGCUCGCGUCCGAUUAGGUAGUUGGUGAGGUAACGGCUCACCAAGCCGACGAUCGGUAGCCGGACUGAGAGGUUGAACGGCCACAUUGGGACUGAGACACGGCCCAGACUCCUACGGGAGGCAGCAG